CAUACUUCCGGUGACGUUCAAAGGCGAGCACGACAAAAGAGCCAGCGAGAGUGCUAAAACCUCCAAGGUUGCAUGUGAGGGCCAUGGCUCGCGGGCAGCAGAAGAUUCAGUCCCAGCAGAAGAACGCCAAGAAGGCCGCCGAGAAGAAGAAGGGGCAGGCGGCCGACCAGAAGACUGCGGCCAAGGUGGCACUGGUCCACACGUGUCCCGUCUGCAGGACCCAGAUGCCUGAUCCCAAGACCUUCAAGCAACACUUUGAGAGCAAACACCCCAAGUCUCCGAUGCCUCCUGAGUUGGCCGACGUUCAGGCUUGAAGGACUAAAUGAGCCGACACAGCAUGAUGACAAGGAUGAAGCACACAGUCCAUCUAACAACAUGGAGCUGCCGCACAUCUCAUAGGCAGCCGCAGGUCUUGACCACCAUGUUGCGAUGCUUCUUGAGGAUCACGUUGUUGUUGUCGUCGUAGAAGAGCACCGAGAUGGGACUCAGCUUGGUGGGCGCGCAGCACGCCUUGGGCACCUCGUCGGGCUUCAGCAGGUGCACCUGCCAAACAAAACACACACACAUGACCUAAAAUGCAUUUUAACCUUCCUGGGGUCAAAUGACAUUCACCUGCGCAUUUUAGAUUGAUUUCAAUUUCAUCCGAAAGCGGAACACAGUUAUGCCUCGUUCCAGAAAACACCUGCAGUAGACUAAAUCUGCGAAGUGCUGACCAAUUAUUUAAAUCAAUUAAAAAGUUUCAGAUAUGCAUAUGUCAUCAAGUGAUACUUUAGAAAGGUGCAGGUCGCCAUCUGCGACCUGCACCUUGGGGGAUGCAAUGCUCUGAAUCUGCAGUAAGUGAUCAGCGACAUAGCGAGCGAUUACUGUACGCCCGACUUUGCACGCUCAUGAAUGGCUGAAGAAGACAGGGGUACUGACCACUUGCUGUAUGAGGGCGUGGUUGGUGGCGUUCAUGCAGGCACCCAGCGGGUAGAAACACUCACCGUCGCAGUAGUACGCCGAGUACCCUGUGGGGGCCAGAACCCAGUCCUGACCAACAAAGUCCACAUUAGAGCAAACACUUUGCGACACUUUGCAUUCCAACGCAGAAUGAAGAAAUAUACAACCCCAAUUCCAAUAAAGUUGGGACG